rnacentral:rRNA from 1 species
UACGUAGGGUGCAAGCGUUGUCCGGAAUUAUUGGGCGUAAAGAGCUCGUAGGCGGUCUGUCGCGUCGGCUGUGAAAACCCGGGGCUCAACCCCGGGCCUGCAGUCGAUACGGGCAGACUAGAGUGCGGUAGGGGAGACUGGAAUUCCUGGUGUAGCGGUGAAAUGCGCAGAUAUCAGGAGGAACACCGAUGGCGAAGGCAGAUCUCUGGGCCGUAACUGACGCUGAGGAGCGAAAGCGUGGGGAGCGAACAGG